CCCUGUUACCUUACCCAGGGAAAAGGAACCUACCUAGCCUGGGGCUAAUAUAUCUGCCUUCUAUUACUCUCCUAUAGCCAUCUGGCCUGACCCUAUCACAGCAGACAUCAGAGCUCAAUUUCCAGGUUCAGUAACCAGAUAAUAGCCCCUGUAUCAAAAGAAUUGUAUACCACCCUUCAGAUGUUGAGUUGGGCACUCUUCCACCACAGGAGCUAUUAUCUUCAAUGCUGCCCAACAGUCACAGCAUGGAGAGGCUAAUCCAGUGCAUAGUUGCAGCAAUUCUGGAUGAGCCAGAGAGUAGCAUCUUGAUCCUGAUCCAGGAUUGACAACCAAGCAGACAAGAAGUAAGAUAUUUAAUCAAACCCCUUUGAAGUGGUAGAGUGGAAACAGCUGUAUCUGACAAUGUGCUGAUGACGUGGGACUUAAAGCUGUCAAGAGCUGCAGAUUGCAAGUAGCACGAGGAGGGUAGUGGCUUGCAGGUCAUGGCAUCUUCAAGAGGAAUGUAUCUAAACCAAUCAGCUCAAGGUAGUGGCUCCAAGUCUCAAAGAUCUGAAAUCCAUCCAUCAUACUCCAGAUAACCUGGACAUCUCAGAAGAACUGGAAUUUGACUACAUGUUAUUCUAAGAAUCAAAACAGUAUUUUCUUAGUAAACUGCCCAGCUUAAGUUUGCACGAAAGUACAUUUUGCAAUUUAAAGGAAAAGCCAGUGCAAAUGUUUCAACGCGGCCGCUAUCUACUCUGUCCCAGAGGCUGGUCCAGAUUAGAAGGCGGAAAAAACAAACUCGGGACGACACGUUUGCCAAGGUCAUGCAGUCCUUUCGCACUGAUAGGGUCCAGCCGAAUGUGUGGAGGCAAACAAUUGCGGAGUCGCGUAAAGCGUUACAUGAAUAUGAAGAGAGGAGGGACGUGUGCGAUGAGAACAGGCAGGAUGCUAUGGUCAGGCUCAUGGGGGAGCAAACUGACAUAUUCCGCUGUAUAGUGGAUCUAAUGCGGGAAAGGCAGCAAGACCACAGACUGCCGCUGCAGCCCCUGAAUAACCUCCCUCCCUCCUCCCCAAGUUCCAUAGCCUCUUCACCCAGACGCCCAAGAACACGGGGGGGGGGGGGGGGGGGGGGAGAGGCUACGGGGACCCACACAGUCAACCCCAGAGGAUUGCACAAGCAGCAGAAAGCUGGCAUAUCCUAAAUUUUGAUUUGUUUUCUGGACUUGUCCUUUCCUCCUCCGCUGCCCCACUAACCCAAUACCCCCGUCUAGCUUCUGAUUUCUCUCAA